GAUAAACGCUGGCGGCGUGCUUCAGGCAUGCAAGUCGAACGGACGUCAGCCUUCGGGCUGGCGUUAGUGGCGGACGGGUGAGUAACACGUAAGCAACCUGCCCGGUAGUGGGGAACAACGGGCCGAAAGGCUCGCUAAUACCGCAUGUGAUGGCUUUUCCUUGGAUAGGUCAUGAAAGCCUUAGGGCGCUACCGGAGGGGCUUGCGGUCGAUUAGCUAGUUGGCGGGGUAAUGGCCCACCAAGGCUACGAUCGAUAGCUGGUCUGAGAGGACGGUCAGCCACAC
rnacentral:rRNA from 1 species